rnacentral:rRNA from 1 species
GACGAACCGUGCGAACGUUAUUCGGAAUCAUUGGGCUUAAAGGGCGCGUAGGCGGCGGUGUAAGUUGGAAGUGAAAUCCCAUCGGCUCAACCGUGGAAUUGCUCCCAGUACUGCAUCGCUCGAGGGGGAUAGGGGUUUGCGGAACUACCGGUGGAGCGGUGAAAUGUGUUGAUAUCGGUGGGAACGCCAGUGGCGAAAGCGGCAAACUUGACCCUUCCUGACGCUGAUGCGCGAAAGCUAGGGGAGCAAACAGG